rnacentral:misc_RNA from 1 species
GUGGAAUGUACCUGGAUGCUUUCUUGCAUGCUAUGCUUGUGGCUACCGGAAGGCCCUACGGUCAAAGUACAAUUUGCCAGAAGCACCUUGUGGAGACUUUGUGACCCACUUUUUCUGCCAUUUCUGUGCUAUCUGUCAAGAAUAUAGAGAGAUUCGUGAAAGAGCUGGUGGAUCCAGUUCCCGUGAGUUGAAUCUGGCUGUUGUUACCCCGCCA